GGGCAUUUAGCUCAGUUGGUUAGAGCUACCGGCUCAUAACCGGUUGGUCCGGGGUUCGAGUCCCUGAAUGCCCA
rnacentral:tRNA from 1 species